rnacentral:rRNA from 1 species
UACAGGGGGUGCAACCGUUGCUCGGAAUCAUUGGGCGUAAAGCGCACGUAGGCGGUCUGUUAGGUCGGAUGUGAAAGCCCUCGGCUCAACUGAGGAAGUGCAUCCGAAACUGGCAGGCUAGAGUACUAAAGAGGGUCGCGGAAUUCCCGGUGUAGAGGUGAAAUUCGUAGAUAUCGGGAGGAACACCGGUGGCGAAGGCGGCGACCUGGGUAGAUACUGACGCUGAGGUGCGAAAGCGUGGGGAGCAAACAGG